UNGUGGUGUGCUCACCUUGAUUCACUGAG
rnacentral:piRNA from 1 species